AUACUUACUGGGCAGGGUAUAUAGCGUGAUCACAAAAGUGGUUUUCCCAGGGCGAGGCUUAUCUAUCCAUUGCACUCUGGAUGUGCUGACUUCUGUGAUUUUCCCAAAUGGGGGAAAUCUCGACUGCCUGAUUUGUGGUAGUAGGGGACUCCAUUUGCACUCUGA